ensembl:lncRNA
CUGCUUCCUGGCAGAGGGCAGAGGAGCACUUCUCCCUUCACUGGCUGAGCUGCCCUCUCCAGCAGUGCAGGAUCCAUGCUUUGGCUCUUCCUUUCUCCCAUCACGUUUUGAAUAAGAAAGCCUAUCACCAAGUCUUCCCGUGUUUCCCAGAACUAAUAAUUCUGGACUGGAACCCCUCCUUAAUAAGGAUUAAAAGAAGAACUCACAAAUCCUUCUUUUAUUUUCAGGACUGCUGGAGGGGAAGCUAAGGAAGAAAACCAGAAGCCUAAAGCCGACCAUGGGAAUGAUCAGAAUUCAUCUUGCAGAAGAGUCUAAGAAUUACGGACAUCACUUUCAUGUUAUCUCUUGACUGCCCCCUGAGACAAGCCCCUGUGAUCAUGUGCAUGAGCUUCAAAGGUAUUG